CAUGAGAAUGCUUGCUCUUUCCUUUCAACCACGCGGCUGACAACCACGUUGCGGAGCUUAUAAGUUGCUCGUCGCCGUUGUGGUCAGGUCAUUCCAGUCUGCAUCGUCUAUCGGUAUCCACGUUAACGUGAUUGAAUUUCCAACGAUCCCAAGAAAUUUUUACUGGGCAGACAAUGACUUCGACCGAAAAAGGUUUUGCGACGACGGCUAUCCAUGCCGGACAAGAUCCUGAACAAUGGAGUCAUGGCUCGAUUGUACCCCCUUUAGUCAUGUCUACCACUUUCCAACGAGACUCACCAGACCAGGAGACAGGCUACGUGUAUGGCAGAAGCGGAAAUCCUACGCGCAACGUAUUGGAAACAUGUCUGGCUGCUCUCGAAAACGGCAAACAUGGAAUCUGCUAUUCUUCUGGGUUAGGUGCUCUAACUGCCAUCACAUCUUUGAUGGAAGCGGGAGAUCAUAUUGUCGCUGGAGAUGAUCUGUACGGUGGGACCAAUCGUUACAUCCAGAAGUGUUUGAGCAAGCAAGGCAUCAAAUAUACCUUUGUUGACAUGACUGAUGUGCAAAACGUUAUAGAUGCUAUACAGCCGAACACAAAGAUGGUGUGGUUGGAAACACCGACAAAUCCAUUAAUGAAACUCAUAGACAUCAAAGCUGUCGCUGAUAACUUAAAAUCACGUCCAGACAUUGUACUAGUCGUCGAUAAUACAUUCUUAACGUGCUACUUUCAAAAGCCUUUGGACCUUAAUGCCGACAUAGUAACUUAUUCUUUAACGAAGUAUAUGAAUGGCCAUUCGGAUGUCAUCAUGGGUGCCGCGAUUACACGACGGGACGAUCUCGCGCAGAGAUUACGAUUUUUACAAAAUGCCAUGGGUAUUGUCCCAUCACCGUUUGACUGUGCCAUGGUCAACCGUGGAUUGAAAACGCUCGAACUUAGGAUGCAACAACACAUGAAGAACGGUUUAGCCAUAGCUAAGUUUCUUGAAUCUCACCCUUACGUCGAGCAAGUGAUUCAUCCGUAUCUCCCGUCCCACAAGCAAUAUAAGUUAGCGCUUAAGCAAUCGUCAGGGCACAGUGGAAUUCUCUCUUUUUAUCUGAAAGGCGAUUCUACGCGUUUUUUGAAAGCAUUGAAAGUCUUCACUUUAGCUGAAUCCUUGGGCGGUUAUGAAUCACUAGCCGAAGUGCCAUCCAUAAUGACGCAUGCAUCCGUACCGGAAGAUAUGCGUUUAAAAUUAGGGAUAACAGAUCAAUUGAUACGACUAUCUGUUGGUCUUGAAACAGAACAGGAUCUCAUAGCCGAUAUUAAAAAUGCGCUGGAAGCUUGUCAAUGAAUUAAGAUGUAACUUGACAGUCAUGAAAAUAACACUCGGGUAUUUACGCAGGUCACAAAAAUUUCCUAGGGCAAUCACUAAAUUCAACAAACAAAUAAUUUCCGUUGAUUGCACACUUCGUCUUAAGCCUAUAAAUGUUACUGUCUUGGAUUUCACUGAACAGAAUAUUGUUGUAUAAAAACUGGAUACCAUUUGUACUACCAAUACGCAAUAUAUUUGGUGCAGUGUGA
rnacentral:misc_RNA from 1 species